GACCUGGUGGUGCAUGGCUCAUACCCACUUUACUUGCCUUUGAUGUCAGGAUAUGGUGAGUGUCCCCGGUUCGAAUCCGGGCCAGGUCG